rnacentral:lncRNA from 10 species
CAGCACAAGAGAACUACGCAGAGCUGGAGGGAGUCCAUGGACUGUCCCACGGCACACUAGAAUCUAUCACCUCUGUCCCUUCUCCAUGCUCCCAACUGCAAAGGGAGGAAGAGGUGGUGUCUUUGAGGUUUUUGCAUUUCUGACAAUCAACCGAUGGCUCCACCUGGACCUGCCAACCCCGCCAAGCAGUCGUGGACCCAGAAGCAGACUCCCUGGCCUGCCAAACUAUCCUUACAAAACCCUAGCCUCCAACUUUUCAGGAAGAUUGAUUUGAGUAAUAACUCCAUUUACCACGUGGCACGGCUGGCCUCAAUGAUUAAACUCUAUUGCAAUGCUGUGGUCUCA